UACGUAGGGCGCAAGCGUUGUCCGGAAUUAUUGGGCGUAAAGAGCUCGUAGGCGGUCUGUCGCGUCCGUUGUGAAAACUCGAGGCUCAACCUCGGGCUUGCAGUGGAUACGGGCAGACUAGAGUGCGGUAGGGGAGACUGGAAUUCCUGGUGUAGCGGUUGAAUGCGCAGAUAUCAGGAGGAACACCGAUGGCGAAGGCAGGUCUCUGGGCCGCAACUGACGCUGAGGAGCGAAAGCAUGGGGAGCGAACAGG
rnacentral:rRNA from 1 species